UACGUAGGGCGCAAGCGUUGUCCGGAAUUAUUGGGCGUAAAGAGCUCGUAGGUGGUUUGUCGCGUCUGCCGUGAAAGCCCGGGGCUUAACUCCGGGUCUGCGGUGGAUACGGGCAGACUAGAGGCAGGUAGGGGAGAACGGAAUUCCCGGUGUAGCGGUGAAAUGCGCAGAUAUCGGGAGGAACACCGGUGGCGAAGGCGGGUCUCUGGGCCGAUAUUGACGCUGAGGAGCGAAAGCGUGGGGAGCGAACAGG
rnacentral:rRNA from 1 species